rnacentral:rRNA from 1 species
GAUGAACGCUGGCGGCGUGCCUAAUACAUGCAAGUCGAGCGAACAGAUGAGGAGCUUGCUCCUCUGACGUUAGCGGCGGACGGGUGAGUAACACGUGGAUAACCUACCUAUAAGACUGGGAUAACUUCGGGAAACCGUAGCUAAUACCGGAUAAUAUAUUGAACCGCAUGGUUCAAUAGUGAAAGACGGUUUUGCUGUCACUUAUAGAUGGAUCCGCGCUGCAUUAGCUAGUUGGUAAGGUAACGGCUUACCAAGGCAACGAUGCAUAGCCGACCUGAGAGGGUGAUCGGCCACACUGGAACUGAGACACGGUCCAGACUCCUACGGGAGGCAGCAGUAGGGAAUCUUCCGCAAUGGGCGAAAGCCUGACGGAGCAACGCCGCGUGAGUGAUGAAGGUCUUCGGAUCGUAAAACUCUGUUAUUAGGGAAGAACAAAUGUGUAAGUAACUAUGCACAUCUUGACGGUACCUAAUCAGAAAGCCACGGCUAACUACGUG